CUUGUUGGUUUACAAAUACAAUAAAUGAAUUCUAAUAAAAGAAACAGUAGACUCAGUAGAGAUACGAGGUACUGAAAAAAUAUUAAUUAAUGGAGAAGCCGAAGUUGGAGGAAAACAAGAAGAUUCGAGGAGAAUGGUGUGGCACUUAAUGCCGCCGGGACAGUAACCUAGCUGCAGCUCCAACUCUAGGGAAUUGGGCUGAAUGAACGCAACACGUGAUCGACAGCCCACCUGCUUCCUGCCGAGCGUCCCUACACUACCUCUACAUGGAUGCCUCGCUUAUUCUGCUCUACAAAACUUCUGAGCUGAUACAAGCAGCCAGAAUGAGUCUCUGCUGAGUCGCCGGCGCCGGACGUGCGUCGCGCGCCUCGGGCGUCUGACGUCUUCGUGUCAGUCGCCAAUUGCAGGAGAAGAUACGAAUAGUUAGGUAUAAAAGCUACUUUAGUCAACCUCGCCUCAGUACUGUUUGUAUUGACUGAAAUACAAGUAGCAUAUAUGAGACGUUCGGACGUAUCCGUGAAAAUACGAAGGUAAAGGAAAUUGCACUACAUUUUUAGAACCUAUUCACCUGUCAGUAAAAUAUUGAAAAGGAAUGUUCAUGAGUGUUAUAAUUUUCUUUCCUCCAACAGCUUCACAUGGAGCAAAUGUAAACCUUUUAUGUUAAUAAUAUCAGUAAUGUCAAGGUACAACGCUCUUUAGAUCAUAUUGCCAUUCCUUUUACUCGAGCGGCCUGUGGGUUAACUAUACGAAGCGAGCCUACAAUGCAUUAAAAGUGCAGUAUAACAAUGCAUUCAGAAUGCUGUUGGGCUUACCUCGUAGAUGUAGUGCAUCUGGCAUGUUUUGCGAAGCUAGAAGUUUUCUGGCAAUCAUGCGCAAGAAAAUAGUAUCUCUGCUAGGUCGAGUUAGAAGCAGUCCCAAACAUACAUGUUCGAAAAGUAGAACUCCCUUAGAUCGUGUUUCAAUUUAUCGCCUCUCGUUGGCAAUUAAGGUGGUUCGCUUUCCAUACAAAAAACAAUUAAUUACCUAAUAGUGUGUAAUUACUUAAUAUAACGCAAUUGUUUUUUGUAUGGAAAGCGAACCACCUUAACUAUUCGCACAACGUUUUGUAGUUGCAGUAAGUACUUACAUAUGGCCGGUAAAAUUUUCGAAAUAGGUAUGUAUUUACGUACAGUGCUAAUUGCCGCACAUAGAAUAAUUAAAGUUUGAUCAAUCGGAAUAUGUUCAUAAGUCACUUAUUACAUUUCGAUUUAUAAGUCUGUAUUUUCCAGCUUUAGAUGUGCAUGACUGCAUAUGCACAUCUAAAGCUGAAAAAUGCUUUCAUGAAUACGUUUAUAAUUAUGGCUAAAUUAUGUGAAUAGGGACAAAUGUAUCAUUUUCAACCAAAGGGGUACUUAUUAUCUGUUGUCAA